AACAGGAUUAGAUACCCUGGUAGUCCACGCCGUAAACGAUGUCGACUUGGAGGUUGUUCCCUUGAGGAGUGGCUUCCGGAGCUAACGCGUUAAGUCGACCGCCUGGGGAGUACGGCCGCAAGGUUAAAACUCAAAUGAAUUGACGGGGGCCCGCACAAGCGGUGGAGCAUGUGGUUUAAUUCGAUGCAACGCGAAGAACCUUACCUACUCUUGACAUCCACGGAAUUUGGCAGAGAUGCCUUAGUGCCUUCGGGAACCGUGAGACAGGUGCUGCAUGGCUGUCGUCAGCUCGUGUUGUGAAAUGUUCGGUUAAGUCCCGCAACGAGCGCAACCCUUAUCCUUUGUUGCCAGCGAUUCGGUCGGGAACUCAAAGGAGACUGCCGGUGAUAAACCGGAGGAAGGUGGGGAUGGCGCCAAGUCAUCAUGGCCCUUACGAGUAGGGCUACACACGUGCUACAAUGGCGCAUACAAAGAGAAGCGACCUCGCGAGAGCAAGCGGACCUCAUAAAGUGCGUCGUAGUCCGGAUCGGAGUCUGCAACUCGACUCCGUGAAGUCGGAAUCGCUAGUAAUCGUGGAUCAGAAUGCCACGGUGAAUACGUUCCCGGGCCUUGUACACACCGCCCGUCACACCAUGGGAGUGGGUUGCAAAGGAAGUAGGUAGCUUAACCUUCGGGAGGGCGCUUACCACUUUGUGAUUCAUGACUGGGGUGAAGUCGUAACAAGGUAACC
rnacentral:rRNA from 1 species